UACGUAGGGUGCAAGCGUUAAUCGGAAUUACUGGGCGUAAAGCGUGCGCAGGCGGUUCGUUAAGUCAGCUGUGAAAGCCCCGGGCUCAACCUGGGAACGGCGGUUGAAACUGGCGAACUAGAAUCUGGCAGAGGGGGGUGGAAUUCCACGUGUAGCAGUGAAAUGCGUAGAGAUGUGGAGGAACACCGAUGGCGAAGGCAGCCCCCUGGGCUGAGAUUGACGCUCAGGCACGAAAGCGUGGGGAGCAAACAGG
rnacentral:rRNA from 1 species